ensembl:misc_RNA Metazoa_SRP Metazoan signal recognition particle RNA
GCCAGGCAUGGUGGUGCAUGCCUGUAACCUCAGCUACUUGGGGGCCAAUGCAGGAGGAUUGCUUGAGCCCAGGAGGUCGAGGCUGCAGUCAGCUGUGGUUGUACCACUGCACUCCAGCCUCGGCAACACAGCAAGACCUUGUCUUAC